rnacentral:rRNA from 1 species
AGUGAACGCUGGCGGUAGGCCUAACACAUGCAAGUCGAACGGCAGCACAGUAAGAGCUUGCUCUUACGGGUGGCGAGUGGCGGACGGGUGAGGAAUACAUCGGAAUCUACUUUUUCGUGGGGGAUAACGUAGGGAAACUUACGCUAAUACCGCAUACGACCUGCGGGUGAAAGCAGGGGAUCUUCGGACCUUGCGCGAUUGAAUGAGCCGAUGUCGGAUUAGCUAGUUGGCGGGGUAAAGGCCCACCAAGGCGACGAUCCGUAGCUGGUCUGAGAGGAUGAUCAGCCACACUGGAACCGAGACACGGUCCAGACUCCUACGGGAGGCAGCAGUGGGGAAUAUUGGACAAUGGGCGCAAGCCUGAUCCAGCCAUACCGCGUGGGUGAAGAAGGCCUUCGGGUUGUAAAGCCCUUUUGUUGGGAAAGAAAAGCGGCAGGUUAAUACCCCGCUGUUCUGACGGUACCCAAAGAAUAAGCACCGGCUAACUUCGUG